AGAAAAACACAGUGAAAUGGUUAAGGACAAUCAGAAACACAAGGCAGAAAAUAAUCCUGACAAACGGAAGCUGAAUCCGGAUGAUGGUCAGGAUAGGGCUUGGUUAGAGGGCUUUUUUCCUCCUCUCGUCCAUUAAAUCUCACUCGUCAUUUCCUGAAAGUUUCUAAAGUGAGUGAGGAGAGACAUUCCCUAAAACACUGGCUGAAUUAAUCAGAGAAGAACUAGAAAGAUACCAGGUUCCUUUUGUCAGGCUAGUGCCCAGACAAGGGUACCUAUAAAAGCCCUAAUAUGUUCUCCUUUCCCCAAUACUCCUCCCAGGUACCACCCAGGAUAUGUAAACAAGACCCCUAGCUCCUUUUCCAGUCUUUCUUCUCUUCACUUCUGAAAUCUCAUGCUGAGCCUACUGAAAUACCAUCCUUUCUAGGAAGGAAAGCUAAAGCUGAGCUCUCUUUCACAUUAUUUUUUCAGCUUAGUCAGCUUAUUCUAUUAUUGCUGCUGAAUUUCAUUUAGCACUUCACAAAAUGCCACAGGUCUUUCAUCCUUAUUCCUUGCCAAUAUACUUGGCAACCAACUAUUAAACAGCACUUCUCUGAUCUGAGGCUGGCCAGACAAUCGUGCUGUGUCCCUGCUUUACUAAGCCUCUUUCCAGCCUUGCUCACGGACACAGCAAUGCCAUGGAGCCAGACUGAGUAGGUUGCAGAGCAUAUAGUGAACAGCACGACAGUGACUGCAAGUGGAAAGAAUCAGACAACUACAGCUGCUGAACAGUGUGUGCAUUGGUGCUAUUCAGCUGCCUGGACAUGGUAGGAGUGUCGUGCAAAUCUUAGGUCACAGCUAUUUGCUUAGCCCAUCACUGCCUCAUUUCCUUGCAUCCCAGCUGCUGUAUUUCUUCCCCUGCCACGGUCCCUGAUGCAUGUCUGUUUUUCAAAACCCCACUGCCUUCAGCUGUGUCUUCAGCUGUGAAACUCAUUCAAUUCCAAGGGUCUCUUGACCCUCCUCAAAGUCUACCUCAGGGAGAGGGAUCAUAUGAUUUUGUGAUUCUAUGAUUUCCUCUGCCAUUUCCUGAGGUGCCAAUUCCAGGACAGAUCUCAGGUCCCCAAAAGCCCCCCAGCUAUGGAUGGGAGGAGGCAGGCAUUAUCAAACUUUGCUACGUGCAUCUCUAACGGACACAUACAAGCCCUCAGCUGCAGCUUUGACUUUAUUCAGGUGGGUUUCAGGUUCUGGGGCAGAGAAUUGGCUUUUAAGCUGUGGGGGUCUCUGCAACUCUUUACUCAGGCA